rnacentral:tRNA from 1 species
UGGAGAGGUGUCGGAGCGGCUGAUCGAGCUGGUUUCGAAAACCAGUGUGCUCUUUACCGAGUACCGCGAGUUCGAAUCUCGCCCUCUCCGU